AAGAUCGGGGCCUCGGUGCUGGCGCGCGGCGCAAGGCCCAGCAGGGAGGUGCCGGGCGCUCCCAGACCCUGACCGACGGCAGGCGCGAAGGUGGCCAAGGCGAGCAGGAGGCCCCACAUGGUGAAGCCCAGAGGGUCGCCUCCCCAGAAGGAAGGAAAUGCGUCCACUGUGCGCCUCUGGCCGAUGCUUUGCCCUUGCAAGGAGUCCUCAGAGAGAUACUGCCAUCCCCAGUUUGAAUCAUCCAAAGUCAGCAUUUUGGCACCCUUCUGGAAGCUCUAUCUUGAAGGAUCUCUGCAAAGAAAUACCGCCCUGGGGUCUUGGAACUGAGGCCGCCAGAGGCCAGGAUGACCUCAUAAAGGCAUUGCUUUGUUGCUCCGGGAAGAGCCAGAGCAAGGGCAAUCAAUAAAUCGUCUCGAAGGCUGGUGACAUUGGCUCCAUGGACUGUUGAGCCCAUAGCCACCAAAGAUGUCAAGGCCACCAAGCUGGAGUGAUUGGAUAGAGUCCACUGGAGGCAGAUAUGCAGCCUGAUUCUCUACCUGUCUCCUCCUCUCCUAGGGGCUGUAUGGCCAUGUUCCCCUCACUCCAUCAUGGGAUGGAGUUUUCCUUCAAAGUAUGACAUGUGGACAAGGAUUAAGUUCUUUCAGUUAUGA